rnacentral:rRNA from 1 species
UAAAUUUUAUUUAUUAAUUUUAUUUAUUUAAGUAUUAUAUUUAAUAAAAAUAAUUUUAAUUCAAUAUAGUUUUAGUAUUUUUUAAAGAAAUAAUAAUUUUAAUAAUAGUUUAUUUGUAUUGUAAAAGAAGAUUGAAAUAAUUUGAAAAAUUUUUAUUUUAAAAGAAAAUUUAAUUUAUUGUACCUUGUGUAUCAGGGUUUAUUAAUUAAUUAAUUAUUAUAGUAAUUUUUCUCGAAUUUUAAAGAUUUAAUUAUAUAUAAAAGUUAUUGUGGAAUAAUUAUUUUUAAUAUAUAAUUAGAAAUGAAAUGUUAAUCGUUUUAAAAUAUAUCUAGUUUUUUAAGAAAUAAAUUUAAUUUAGAUUUAUAAAUUAAAAGUAUUAUUUAUUUAAUAUUUUUAAUUUAUAAAAUUAAUAUUUUAAGGGAUUAGCUUUAAAAUAAAUUUUUAAAUUUUAAAAAAGUAUUUAAUAAAUGUAAGCUUAAAAAUAGUUAUCAUUAAUAAAUUUGUUAUAAUUCAUUUUAAAUUUUUUAUUAUUUAUUAUAAAAUUAAAUUAUUUAUUAAAAUAUAAAUUUUAAUAUUAAUGAUUUAUAAAUUAUGGUAAAAUUAGUAUAUUUAAUUUAUAUAAAUUAUUUAAAUUGAGAGGUUUAAAUAAGGAAUUCGGCAAAUUAUAUAUUCACCUGUUUAUCAAAAACAUGUCUUUUUGUAUUUAAUUUAAAGUCUAACCUGCCCACUGAUAGAUAUUAAAGGGCCGCAGUAUUUUGACUGUGCGAAGGUAGCAUAAUCAGUAGUCUUUUAAUUGAAGGCUUGUAUGAAUGGUUGAAUGAGAUAUAUACUGUCUUUUUUAAAUUUUUAUAGAAUUUUAUUUUUUAAUUAAAAAGUUAAAAUAUAAUUAAAAGACGAGAAGACCCUAUAGAUCUUUAUUUUUUUUAAUUAUAAGUUAAAAAGAAUAAUUAAAUUUAUAGUUUUAUAAAAAAUUUUACUGGGGUGGUAUUAAAAUUUAAUUAACUUUUAUUAUUUGUUUACAUUAAUAUAUGUAUAUUUGAUCCAAUUUUAUUGAUUAAAAAAUUAAGUUACCUUAGGGAUAACAGCGUAAUUUUUUUUUAGAGUUCUUAUCGACAAAAAAGAUUGCGACCUCGAUGUUGGAUUAAGAAUUAUUUUUAGGUGUAGAAGUUUAAAGUUUAGGUCUGUUCGACCUUUGAAUUCUUACAUGAUCUGAGUUCAAACCGGCGUAAGCCAGGUUGGUUUCUAUCUUUAAUAAAUUAUUAUAUUAUAGUACGAAAGGACCUAAUAUAAAAAAUAUAAAUUUUAAAUUUAUGAAUUAUAUUAAUAUUUAAUAA